rnacentral:rRNA from 1 species
CGCGCAGGUGGUUGAUUAAGUCUGAUGUGAAAGCCCACGGCUUAACCGUGGAGGGUCAUUGGAAACUGGUCGACUUGAGUGCAGAAGAGGGAAGUGGAAUUCCAUGUGUAGCGGUGAAAUGCGUAGAGAUAUGGAGGAACACCAGUGGCGAAGGCGGCUUCCUGGUCUGUAACUGACACUGAGGCGCGAAAAGCGUGGGGAGCAAAACA